AGGGAAUCUUCCGCAAUGGACGAAAGUCUGACGGAGCAACGCCGCGUGAGUGAAGAAGGCCUUCGGGUCGUAAAACUCUGUUGUCGGGGAAGAACAAGUGCCGUUCGAACAGGGCGGCGCCUUGACGGUACCCGGCCAGAAAGCCACGGCUAACUACGUGCCAGCAGCCGCGGUAAUACGCAGGUGGCAAGCGUUGUCCGGAAUUAUUGGGCGUAAAGCGCGCGCAGGCGGCUUCUUAAGUCUGAUGUGAAAUCUUGCGGCUCAACCGCAAGCGGUCAUUGGAAACUGGGAGGCUUGAGUGCAGAAGAGGAGAGUGGAAUUCCACGUGUAGCGGUGAAAUGCGUAGAGAGGUGGAGGAACACCAGUGGCGAAGGCGACUCUCUGGGCUGUAACUGACGCUGAGGCGCGAAAGCGUGGGGAGCAAAC
rnacentral:rRNA from 1 species